rnacentral:rRNA from 1 species
AACGAACGCUGGCGGCAUGCCUAAUACAUGCAAGUCGAACGAGCCUUUCGGGGAUAGUGGCGCACGGGUGCGUAACGCGUGGGAAUCUGCCCUUGGGUUCGGAAUAACUUCGGGAAACUGAAGCUAAUACCGGAUGAUGACGAAAGUCCAAAGAUUUAUCGCCCAGGGAUGAGCCCGCGUAGGAUUAGCUAGUUGGUGGGGUAAAGGCCUACCAAGGCGACGAUCCUUAGCUGGUCUGAGAGGAUGAUCAGCCACACUGGGACUGAGACACGGCCCAGACUCCUACGGGAGGCAGCAGUAGGGAAUAUUGGACAAUGGGCGAAGGCCUGAUCCAGCAGUGCCGCGUGAGUGAUGAGGGCCUUAGGGUUGUAAAGCUCUUUUACCCGAGAUGAUAAUGACAGUAUCGGGAGAAUAAGCUCCGGCUAACUCCGUGCAUACA